ensembl:lncRNA
GUUCCAGCAGCACAUUAUGUCUGUGGGUAGCAGAACAGCUCGAGCACACCCAUCCCUUUCCAUGGCCCCCAGCACGGCUGUGGUAGGAUGAGCCCUGCCCUGCUCCUGCUGCUGUCCCUGGCCAGCUGCUCCCUGCUCCAGGGGACGCUACUGAGGCCACGGCACGUCAGGCUGGAGGCACAGAACUUCCACGUCUUGCUGCGCUGGGAGCCAGACCCCAGCUCACCCAGCUCUGCCACCUAUGAGGUGGAGUGGAGGAACAGAACCUCAAACUGGACCAAGGCAGGUGCCUAUGGGGGGAACUGCAGAAACUCCUGUGUGUGUGAGCUGUAUUUUGACAGGAUUCAUGAUAUCUACUGGGCACGGGUGAGAGUGGUGGCCGGAGGUGAGCGGUCCGAGUGGGCCAUUUCCAGCGAGCUGCAGCUGUACAGAGACACAAUUGUUGGCCCUCCCAAGCUGUCUUGGCUGCUCCAGGACCAAAUCCUCAGCGUAAACAUCAUCACACCACCCACUCCCUACCAGAGAAGGACUGGUUCCUACAAGCCAGUCAACCGAGUGCUGCUGAAGCUGUGGUACUGGCUGCACCUGUACGAGGGGGACCUGCUUGUCCAACAGGUGCCCUGCAAACAGAGCAGUGAGAAAGUGCCUUGCACCUUUGGGCACCUGAAGCCCAGCACACAGUACUGUGUCCGGACGGUGGCUGCAGACAUUGCCAGGGAGCGGAGCCAGGAGGCUGAGCAGUGCCUGGUGACUCCAGCAGCCCCCUCAGGCUUUCCAUGGGUCUCUGCUGUGCUGAGUGCCUUCUUCCUGCUGCUGCCACUGAGUGUGGCCGGGAUGUGCUUCGUGCAGCUGCAUGUCUUUCCCAGUCCUCAGGAGAUGUGCCUCCCAAAAGCACUGGCUCUCCAGAACAGCGAGCUGAAUGUGGCCAUGCAGGUGCCUCCACUGCAGCUUGAGGAGGACCCACUGGCCCUGCUCCUGCAGACUGUGCUCCCCUCCCACGGGCCAUCCACAGCUGUGCAGGCAUCAGCCACGGUCCCACGGCUCCUGCGAGGCCUUGUCCAGGAUGUGAGUGGCUACUGUGCCAACGGGUUUCGCCCAGACUGCAUUGAGGGAAGGGACCCAUCCUGCACCCACAGUCAGCUGGGGCAUGCCUUAGGUUCUCAGGUCCCCUCACAGCUGGAGAAGGAUGAGGAGGCAGGUGAUGGGGAUGAUUUGCCAGAGCAGCUGGUGCUAAUGGGACUGGCUGGACACAGCUACAUAGGUGACAGGGACAGCCAGAUACCUAAAAUGUGGCUCCCCCUGCACCUCCAGCUUUAUUCUAAAUGCCAGUGCCCAGUUCUGGGAGCAGACAGCCACCUUCCUCUGCCCGUGCCGAGCAGAAGCUGCAGCCAGGAGUGCCUGCAGGAGAGUCUGGGCACGGCUGGGCACUGGAUCCGGCUCAGCUCCGUGAGGCUCCUGCCCAGCACGGAGACGGAGGGCGGGCAGCGCCCCUGUGCUCCCCAGGCCCUGCGGGGCGGCGGGACUGACCCAGAGCUAGGGGCCAGCGCCGUGCAGCGAGGCUCCCCGGGGCAGGCCGAGCCGUGUCCGUGCCCGCUGCCCCCCUCGCCCCGCGGCCUGCGGGCAGCUCCCUUCCCCGGCUACGAGCCCCGGGCCCCGGCGGGCAGCGAGCCUUAGCGGGCCCAGCCGAGCCCAGGCCGCCUCCCGCAGCUCCCCGGCCGGAACGGCUGUCUGUCUGUGUCUGUCUGUCUGUCCGUCUGUCUGUGUCUAUCCGUCUGUCUGUCUGUGUCUGUCCGUCUGUCUGUCUGUGUCUGUCCGUCUGUCCGUCUGUCUGUGUCUAUCCGUCUGUCUGUGUCUGUCCGUCUGUCUGUCUGUGUCUGUCCGUCUGUCUGUCUGUGUCUGUCUGUCUGUCCGUCUGUCUGUGUCUAUCCGUCUAUCUGUCUGUGUCUGUCCGUCUGUCCGUCUGUCUGUCUGUGUCUGUCCGUCUGUCUGUCUGUCUGUCCCAGCCUGCUGGGGCGUGCUGCGGGUGGGACCGGGCAGGCUCCAAGGGCAGGCACAGGCCCGUUCCGGGCACGGCCGCCAAAGACGGGCUGGAUCCAGAGCUUUCCUCUGGGGAUUUGGUGCUCUUGAGAUACCUCAUAAGGAGCAUGGAGCAACGCUGAAGCCCAAACCUCUUAUCUAAAGAUCUGUCUGUAUGUGUGCAUGUAUGGUACAGUAUCUAUACUAAUGUAACACUCAUAUAUACAUAUAUAUUUGUAAAGCUCUUUCAUGAAAAAAAUGUUGGGGUUUUUACUUCUGUGGAAAUGUUGAUUCUGUGCUGGAGUUGUUUUUAAAUAUCACUAAUUUAUUCUAGAAAACUGGCUUCUCUAUUCAUUGUUUCUGUGUUACAGACCCAGCACAACCCUUCCCCGUGCAGCAGUCAGGAAAGGUACGGGGUAAACUUGGGGUUUUCCAGGCAGAAAAUUGCACCCACAAUCUCUGUCUUGCUCUCCGGUAGGAAAAGACUGUUUUUUAGCAUCAUGGGAUACAUUUAUUAUUCCUCCUGCUAGCACUGGGGUGAUUUAUGGCUGAGAAGCCCCUCCCUGCCUGUGUUUUGAGGCUUUGCCUGAAGCUGCAGAGGUCAGGGGAAACCUCCUUGUGCUGUGUCGCAAGCUGCAAUCAGCGGAGUCAAAAUGCA